rnacentral:tRNA from 1 species
AUAAAAUUCAAUAUAAAAUAAUUAUAUUAAUUAUAAAUAUUAUUUAAAUUCAUUAGAUGACUGAAAGCAAG